CACGUAGGGCGCAAGCGUUGUCCGGAAUUAUUGGGCGUAAAGAGCUCGUAGGCGGUCUGUUGCGUCCGCUGUGAAAACUCAGGGCUUAACCCUGAGCCUGCUUCCGAUACGGGCAGACUAGAGGUAUGCAGGGGAGAACGGAAUUCCUGGUGUAGCGGUGGAAUGCGCAGAUAUCAGGAGGAACACCGGUGGCGAAGGCGGUUCUCUGGGCAGUAACUGACGCUGAGGAGCGAAAGCGUGGGGAGCGAACAGG
rnacentral:rRNA from 1 species